GCCGGAAUAGCUCAGCUGGGAGAGCAACAGACUGAAGUUUCUUGAGCGUCUUCUGGAGGUCCCGUGUUCAAUCCACGGUUCUGGCA
rnacentral:tRNA from 1 species